rnacentral:rRNA from 1 species
GACGAACGCUGGCGGCGUGCUUAACACAUGCAAGUCGAACGGCAAGGCCCUGCUUUUGUGGGGUGCUCGAGUGGCGAACGGGUGAGUAACACGUGAGUAACCUGCCCUUGACUUUGGGAUAACUUCAGGAAACUGGGGCUAAUACCGGAUAGGAGCUCCUGCUGCAUGGUGGGGGUUGGAGAGUUUCGGCGGUUGGGGAUGGACUCGCGGCUUAUCAGCUUGUUGGUUGGGUAGUGGCUUACCAAGGCUUUGACGGGUAGCCGGCCUGAGAGGGUGACCGGCCACAUUGGGACUGAGAUACGGCCCAGACUCCUACGGGAGGCAGCAGUGGGGAAUAUUGCACAAUGGGCGGAAGCCUGAUGCAGCAACGCCGCGUGCGGGAUGACGGCCUGCGGGUUGUAAACCGCUUUCGCCUGUGACGAAGCGUGAGUGACGGUAAUGGGUAAAGAAGCACCGGCUAACUACGUG